UACGUAGGGUGCAAGCGUUAUUCGGAAUUACUGGGCGUAAAGCGCGCGCAGGCGGCUCUGUAAGUCAGCUGUGAAAUGCCCGGGCUUAACCUGGGAACUGCAUUUGUGACUGCAUGGCUAGAGUUUGGCAGAGGGAGGUAGAAUUCCACGUGUAGCAGUGAAAUGCGUAGAUAUGUGGAGGAACACCGAUGGCGAAGGCAGCCCCCUGGGUCAAGACUGACGCUCAUGCACGAAAGCGUGGGGAGCAAACAGG
rnacentral:rRNA from 1 species